rnacentral:rRNA from 1 species
AACGAACGCUGGCGGCAGGCUUAACACAUGCAAGUCGAACGCGUGUAGCAAUACACGAGUGGCGCACGGGUGAGUAACACGUGGAUAUCUGCCUUUUGGUUCGGGAUAACCCUGGGAAACUAGGGCUAAUACCGGAUGGUUCCUACGGGAUAAAGAUUUAUCGCCAAAAGAUGAGUCCGCGUCCGAUUAGCUAGUUGGUGAGGUAAUGGCUCACCAAGGCGACGAUCGGUAGCUGGUCUGAGAGGACGAUCAGCCACACUGGGACUGAGACACGGCCCAGACUCCUACGGGAGGCAGCAGUGGGGAAUAUUGGACAAUGGGGGCAACCCUGAUCCAGCCAUGCCGCGUGAGUGAUGAAGGCCUUCGGGUUGUAAAGCUCUUUUGGCGGGGACGAUGAUGACGGUACCCGCAGAAUAAGCCCCGGCUAACUCUGUGCCAGCAGCCGCCGUAACAC